GCAGAAUAUUGCCAUUAAUGGAGGUCACCGAAGCUCUCAAGGAAGAUUAAGAGGAAGAGCCUACGAUAUAUUUCACAUCAUCAUCGAUAAUUUCGAAGAGGAAAAACCCGAUUCACCGACGAUUGAUGAAUUAACGAGAUUGAUAGCGACAAUUUCUGAGAUGUAGUUGAUUGACUGAGGUUUGAGAUUGAUAAUUAAAGGAUCUAUUAGUAAAAAAAAUUGAAUUUGAAGUAAACCCAGAUCUCCCAAGAUGCUAGUUCUUAAAAGGAAAGAAAGAAGAAAAAUGGUGUGCCCCAUUCUACAGUGUCUAGUGUUGCCUCCCAAAUGAGGUGAAUAUACGAACAUAAAUAGGUCAACAAAUCUGGGAGGAAUGUUCAAGAAUCCUUGAACUCCAUGGAGAGAUUAAGCACGUUGUUGUCAAAUGGUUGGAGUCACAAUGUGUUCAUAUGUAAAAUGUGCACUUUUGUACACAUUGAAAAUUAUCUGUAAGAGAUUGUGCACUUUGUACCCAAAGAAUUC